rnacentral:rRNA from 1 species
GUGGGGAAUAUUGGGCAAUGGGCGAAAGCCUGACCCAGCAACGCCGCGUGAAGGAAGAAGGUUUUCGGAUCGUAAACUUCUAUCCUUGGUGAAGAUAAUGACGGUAGCCAAGAAGGAAGCCCCGGCUAACUACGUGCCAGCAGCCGCGGUAAUACGUAGGGGGCAAGCGUUGUCCGGAAUGAUUGGGCGUAAAGGGCGCGUAGGCGGCCCGGUAAGCCUGAAGUGAAAGUCCUGCUUUUAAGGUGGGAAUUGCUUUGGAUACUGUCAGGCUUGAGUGCAGGAGAGGGAAGCGGAAUUCCCGGUGUAGCGGUGAAAUGCGUAGAGAUCGGGAGGAACACCAGUGGCGAAGGCGGCUUACUGGACUGUAACUGACGCUGAGGCGCGAAAGUGUGGGGAGCAAACAGGAUUAGAUACCCCUGUAGUCC